rnacentral:lncRNA from 10 species
UCCCAAGUGUCUCAGGAUCUCUCCACUUUCUCCUGUGUCACCUCCCCUGUCCCCUCCCUUUCCUCUCCUCCCACCCAGUCUCCUCCCUCUCUCUUUUUUUUGCCUCUCUCUUCUCUCAUUUUCUGUCUGUGUGUCUUACACUGUGUGUGUCCCUCGCAUUCUCCAUCUCUGUCUGUGUCUCUCAUUCUGCCUCUCUCUGUCUUUCUCGGGGCUUCCAUCUCUGGUUCUGCAGCUCCGCAUCCCUCCUUUGAGGACCGCUGUAACUCGGCCCUUCCUGCCACACGCAGGCAUGAAGUUGUCCUCAGGUGCUAGGGUCUCGGAGGCCCCACUGGGCCCUGGGCUCCUGCUGGGCUUUGUCCUCUCUGGUCUCAGCUGUGCCCUGAGCACCUCUGGGUUUUGACUUCACUGGGCCUUUCUCUCAGCUCCACACUCCCAUCUCUUGUGGGGGAAGAAGAGGAAUCGGCCCUGCCUCAGUUUCCCUAAGAUGUAGGUGCAGACUCUCCCAGUGCCUGUCAGGGUCUGCCAUGUAUGUCAGCCUCCCAACCCCAAGGCAGAGUCAUUCGCUUCCUGCACCCCCCUCCCCUCCCCACUUGCCUUGCCCUUCCACCUUCUCUGGGCCCCCUUGUUCCAACUGUGGCAGGACUGGAACCAUGUUUCGGCCUCUCCUGUGGUUGGGCUCUGAGAAGCUUGGACUUCAGAGAAGAGAAGCCUCUCUGCCCACAAAGAUCUCACAGAAUUUUGGGGGCACAGGCAGGAGGUGAGAGCUGCUGUGCCUUUUCUCCCAAACGCACUGCUGAGUAACAAAGGCCCAGGUCCCAUGAGGGUGGAGAGCUUGUCUGUUUGAUUCAUUUCCGUGUUCCUAGUACCUAGCAGGGUGCCCAGCUCCUAGGAGGCUUUCAGGAAACAAUAUUAGAUGAGUACAUGAAAAAGCCCCUCACCUCUCCAAUCCCGCACUCAGAGCCCAAGGGCUCUGGACACUGUCUCCCUACUCCCCGACCUUGGCCCUCUGCCCUCAGCCGUAGUGUGUGGCUUUUCAUGGGGCAGAAGUGGGAGGCCCUGGCCCCGGGGCACCCUGGUCUUGCAGGGAGAGGAGGCUUAUAGGCUAUGAAGCGUGACCACUGACUGUCAGCGCUGAUGAAGGGAGAGGCCACUUAGGGCUACACAAGGAGCUAAGCGUUGGAGAAGCGCUGGGCGCCAAUGGACAGAGAGGAUGGCAAACCAUACAGUGGGUCCUUCUCAGAGGAGCACAUGUGGGCACUGACAUGAUGAAAGUUUUGUUUUAGAAGAAUCCCCUGGCAGAAGUGUAGGGGGUGGGUCAGAGACAGGACCAUCACUCUCUGAGGGCUUCCUGUGGCUAAGUGCUAUGUGCUGAAUGUGACUUAUUUUACUUAACUCUUGUAACAACCCAGUGAGGUAUUAUUUAUAAUUGCUAGAUAUGGAUUAGAAACCUGAGACUCAUGGUGACCCUCUUCAUUGGAAAACUGUCCCUUCCCAUGUCUUAGGAUUGAGGGAUUGUCACAGUGCCCCACCUGUGCCAACAGCACCUAGUCCAAGGGAUGGUCAUGUGACCAAAGCAGAACAGAGUUGAGUCUUGGAAUGUUGAAGAUAGGGACCCUGGGUCUCUCUUUUUUUUUGGAUCUCAAACCGUAACUGUAAGCUUAGGGCAUCUGAAGGCAAUUUCCCAUGACUUGGAGAAAACUAUGUGACAGGAUUGAAUGUGGCUGAUGCACAAAAGAAACAGAUGAGGCCGGGCACGGUGGCUCACGCCUGUAAUCCCAGCACUUUGGGAGGCCGAGGUGGGUGGAUCACCUGAGGUCAGGAGUUCAAGACCAGCCUUGCCAACAUGGCGAAACCUUGUCUUUACUAAAAAUACAAAAAUUAGUUGGGUGUGGUGGUUCGUGCCUGUAACCCCAGCUACUUGGGAGGCUGAGGCAGGAGAAUCACAGAAUCACUUGAUCCUGGGAGACGGGGGUUGCAGUGAGCCGAGAUUGCACCAUUGCACUCCAGCCUGGGUGACAGAAUGAGACUCCAUUUCAAAAAAAAAAAAAAGAACAAAGAAAGAAAGAAACAGAUGAGCAGGAUGUGUGGACAGGGAGAGGUUGAUGACCGUCACUGAAAUUCUGGAUCCAGCCAUACCUGAAGCCAGACCCAGCUGGAGCUUCCUAGUACGUAAGCCAUUAAAUUACAUUAUUUUGUGUUUUAAAAACACAAAAUAACUGGCUGAGUACAGUGGCUUGCACCUGAAAUCCCAGCAUUUUGAGAGGCUGAGGCAGGAGGAUCGCUUGAGCCCAGGAGUUUCAGACCUGGUGUAGACCUGAGUGUGGAGGCUCAGGGAGAGGGUUGGAGGAGGAUCCAAGGGACCUGGAAGAUUUAGAAGCCAGAGGCAGAAGGGCAUGUGGGAGAUUGAGGCAGGGAGGAAGGAUGGUAGCAGAGAUGGCUUGUCUCAGACACAAAGGGCUGACAGGCAGGAUGAGACCUCUCACCCAGAGGCCCAGGCAGCUGCAAGGCCAGCUUGUGGGUGCCGUUGAGCUCAUCUGGAACCAUGUGGGAGGCCAAGGCCAGGCCUGGGGUCACCCAUGGGCUGAAGCUGGAGGAGAGGGAAGCAACAGCUGGAGGAGGAGGAGGAAACUGUCACCAUGAUGGAAAACAUGGGAGAAGGUGGGAGUCAGCUCCUCAGAGCCCAGUGCCCCAGCUGAGAGGUCAGGAGGAGGAGGCCCUUGUGACCUUGGAAGCCAGAGCAGGACACCAAGGAAGGACCUUGGAGAAGGGAAUGUGGAGGUGAGGCUUGUGGAUUCAGCAGCAAACGAAGGGGUGGUGGUUAGAACGGUGACUGGAAGGACUGUCCUCUCCUGUUGUAUAACUCAGUUCCAUGCUGCAGAAACACAAGUCUUUCCCAUACUACAUUUCAGAGGCAAGGUUGAACUCAGGUGACUUAUCUACCUGCCCAAUGAGCCAGAGACAGGUUUUAUUUUUUUAAAGCAUUUUAAUAAA